rnacentral:sRNA from 1 species
AGGAAGGGAAACCGAUAGUCGACAUGUCGGAUCUUUUGUGUAAAGAUUCCUCUUAAAAUCUAUCAAGGCGUCUGACCAUGGACCGCCGUAGUUGGGCUCAGGAUGUGUUACGGUGUCAUCUCUGUAAGAUCCCGGGUCCCCCUAUGUACUGUGACAUUUGUCACAUACAUCUGUGUAAAGCCUGUGUGGGGGAACAUCUUUCUGACGAAUCUAAAGAUCACAAAGUAGUGCCAUUUAAAAAGCGGGUACUUAAUCCCAAAUGUUUAAAACAUUCCACACAAUUAUGCGACCUUUAUUGCAAACAAUGUGACAUUUCUAUUUGUGUGGAGUGUGUCUCUUCUGAUGAGCAUCUAGGUCAUAAAAUGGUUGGGAUUAUAAAAAUAGUAGAAAAUAAGAGAGAAAAUUUACAGAGAGAUCUACAAGAAUUCGAAUUUUUUUUUUAUCCUAAAUACCGAGAGAUAGCAUCAAAUAUCCAAGUUCAGAAAGCUGAUCUGAAUAAAAACUCCCUCAAACUUACAACAGCUAUAGAAAAACAUGGAGAAGAUUUGCACAGAGAAAUAGACACUGCUAUCGAGAAAUUUAAAUCGGAUGUGAUGGAAGUGGAAUCCAAACACCUGGUUGUCCUUGAUAAGCAGGAAAAUGAAAUCAAACGCAGUAUUUCUAAAAUUGAACAGAGCAUUGCUGAUCUGAAUGAAUUACUGAACUCCAAUGAUGUCAGCCUUGUUUCUGCUUAUAAUUCCAGGAAUGCUGAAUUCAGAAAAUUGCCUCCAACAUUCACAGUAUCCUUGCCAAGAUUCACUCCACAGAUGAUUAACAGAGAACAGAUUUAUCAGCAGAUCGGUUCUUUGUCAGCGUCAUCUAUCAAAACAGAAGAACAAGGCUACGCUUUGGAUUCUCCCGGUGCAGAUUCCUCUUUCCCGGACAGAUCAUUCAUUGAUGUACCACGAAUAAUCACAGAUAUAACCACCGAAUAUGGAGAAACUAAUAACUUACGCAGUGUGUCCUGUCUGGGCGAUGGUGAGGUGUGGACGUGUGGUGAUGACAAUAUGCUAAGACUCUACAACGUCCACGGUAAACUAGUGAAGUCAAUCCAAACUAAGUCUAUGAACAUGCCAGAGGACAUAGCAGUGACACAGAGUGGUGAACUAGUUUAUACUGAUCACAAUGAUAGAACUGUGAACAUAGUAAAGAAUACAAAGAUACAGAGAGCGGUUAAACUACGGGUAUGGAAACCUACCUAUGUUUGUAUAACAUCUGAUGAUGAUUUUCUAGUCGUCAUGGCAAAUCAUUUUAUGAAUCAUACCAAAGUUGUACGUUACUCUGGCUCCACAGAAAAGCAAAGCAUUGAAUUUCAUGACAAAGGAAAACCUCUCUAUUCACCGCAAAAUCACACCAAAUUUAUCUGUGAGAACAAAAACCUAGAUAUCUGUGUAGCUGACAGUUAUACUGAUACCAAUACGUUAGUAGUAGUCAAUCAGGCCGGGAAACUCAAGUUUAGAUACACAGGUCCUCCCUUUACUAACAAAGGGACCAUUUAAUCCAACUGGCAUCACUACAGACAGCCAGUGUCGGAUCCUGACAGCAGACUAUUACAACAACUGUAUCCACAUCCUGGAUCAGGACGGACAGUUCCUCCGCUACAUUGACAACUGUCAUUUGCAGUAUCCUUUCGAUAUAUGUGUGGACACCAGAGACAAUCUCUUUGUAGCUGAACGCUACACAGGUGAAAUGAAGAAAAUCCAGUAUUACAUUUAAACUGUUUUAUUUUUUAUAAACAAACUAUGUUAUUUUUUAAUUUACAAUUUCACAAAUAAAGAGGUGUAGCGCC